CACAUGUCCAGUCUGGAAACUGUAUUCCAACGGCUGGCGGACGCGUCCCUUACCCUUAACUUGGCCAAGUGUGAGUUUGGUAAGACCACUGUCACUUACCUUGGUAAGCAGGUUGGCCAGGGGCAGGUCCGGCCUGUGGACGCUAAGGUGGCUCCGGUUGUCUUUCUACCAGUGGCCAGCCCUAGACGAGA